rnacentral:rRNA from 1 species
AUGAACGCUAGCGGCAGGCCUAAUACAUGCAAGUCGAGGGGCAGCACAGGUAGCAAUACUGGGUGGCGACCGGCAAACGGGUGCGGAACACGUACGUAACCUUCCUUUAAGUGGGAGAUAGCCCGAAGAAAUUCGGAUUAAUACCCCAUAAGAUUGUGGAGUGGCAUCACUCAGCAAUUAAAGAAUUUCGCUUAAAGAUGGGCGUGCGGCUGAUUAGGUAGUUGGUGAGGUAACGGCUCACCAAGCCAACGAUCAGUAACUGGCGUGAGAGCGCGACCAGUCACACGGGCACUGAGACACGGGCCCGACUCCUACGGGAGGCAGCAGUAAGGAAUAUUGGUCAAUGGACGCAAGUCUGAACCAGCCAUGCCGCGUGAAGGAUGAAGGUCCUCUGGAUUGUAAACUUCUUUUAUAUGGGAAGAAACCACUUUUUUCUAAAGGUGUUGACGGUACCAUAGGAAUAAGCACCGGCUAACUCCGUGCCAGCAGCCGCGGUAAUACGGAGGGUGCAAGCGUUAUCCGGAUUCACUGGGUUUAAAGGGUGCGUAGGCGGAUUAGUAAGUCCGUGGUGAAAUCUCCGAGCUUAACUCGGAAACUGCCGUGGAUACUAUUAAUCUUGAAUACUGUGGAGGUUAGCGGAAUAUGUCAUGUAGCGGUGAAAUGCAUAGAUAUGACAUAGAACACCAAUUGCGAAGGCAGCUGGCUACACAGAGAUUGACGCUGAGGCACGAAAGCGUGGGGAUCAAACAGGAUUAGAUACCCUGGUAGUCCACGCCCUAAACGAUGAUUACUCGACAUUUGCGAUAUACAGUAAGUGUCUGAGCGAAAGCAUUAAGUAAUCCACCUGGGAAGUACGACCGCAA